GAUGUUGAUACUACGUUGAUUUUCAGUUUUAUCCUAACCUUUUAAUCCUACAUGAAAAAUGCCCAACCUUUCUAAACUGUUUCAAACUAUCCCAGGUCUAUAAGCACCACUUGUGAGAGGGAAUAUUCCGCUAGAUUUCUUCCCAAAUUUAGAUCUUG